rnacentral:lncRNA from 1 species
UUGGGCGAACAUACUCCAGCCAUUCCUGCUACCUUCAGUGAAGAAACUCCGGCCAUUCCUCCAACCUUCAGCAAAGAAACUCCUACCAUUCCUGCAACCUUGGGUCAUGAAACUCAGACCAUUCCUACAACCAUGGGUGAGCUAACUAAGACCAUUCCUGCAACCUUGGGUGAGGAAACUACUACUGUUCCCACAAUCUUGGGCGAGGAGGAAACUACUACUGUUCCCACAACCUUGCACAAGGAAACUUUGGCUAAGGAAACUCCAAUUAUUACCGCGACAUUGGGCGAAGAAACUAUGAAUGUUCCCACAACCUUGCAUGAGGAAAC